GACAGAGGAUGCAAGCGUUAUCCGGAAUGAUUGGGCGUAAAGCGUCUGUAGGUGGCUUUUUAAGUCUGCCGUCAAAUCCCAGGGCUUAACCCUGGACAGGCGGUGGAAACUACCAAGCUGGAGUACGGUAGGGGCAGAGGGAAUUUCCGGUGGAGCGGUGAAAUGCGUAGAGAUUGGAAAGAACACCGAUGGCGAAGGCACUUUACUGGGCUAUUACUAACACUCAGAGAC
rnacentral:rRNA from 1 species